rnacentral:rRNA from 1 species
AUUGAACGCUGGCGGAAUGCUUUACACAUGCAAGUCGAGCGGCAGCACGGGGGCAACCCUGGUUGCGAGCGGCGAACGGGUGAGUAAUACAUCGGAACAUGCCCAGUCGUGGGGGAUAACACUUCGAAAGAAGUGCUAAUACCGCAUACGUCCUGAGGGAGAAACCGGGGGAUCGCAAGACCUCGCGCGAUUUGAUUUGCCGAUGUCGGAUUCGCUAGUUGGUGGGGUAAAGGCCUACCAAGGCAACGAUCUGUAGCUGGUCUGAGAGGAUGAUCUGCCACACUGGAACUGAGACACGGCCCAGACUCCUACGGGAGGCAGCAGUGGGGAAUUUUGGACAAUGGGGGAAACCCUGAUCCAGCAAUGCCGCGUGAGUGAAGAAGGCCUUCGGGUUGUAAAGCUCUUUCGGCAGGAACGAAACGGUGAGCACUAACAUAGCUAGCUAAUGACGGUACCUGAAGAAGAAGCACCGGCUAACUACGUG